UACGAAGGGGGCUAGCGUUGCUCGGAAUCACUGGGCGUAAAGGGUGCGUAGGCGGGUCUUUAAGUCAGGGGUGAAAUCCUGGAGCUCAACUCCAGAACUGCCUUUGAUACUGAGGAUCUUGAGUUCGGGAGAGGUGAGUGGAACUGCGAGUGUAGAGGUGAAAUUCGUAGAUAUUCGCAAGAACACCAGUGGCGAAGGCGGCUCACUGGCCCGAUACUGACGCUGAGGCGCGAAAGCGUGGGGAGCAAACAGGG
rnacentral:rRNA from 1 species